rnacentral:rRNA from 1 species
UACGUAGGGGCCUAGCGUUGUCCGGAUUUAUUGGGCGUAAAGAGCGUGUAGGCGGCCAGAUAGGUCAGCUGUGAAAACUCGAGGCUCAACCUCGAGACGUCGGUUGAAACCAUCUGGCUAGAGUCCGGAAGAGGAGAGUGGAAUUCCCGGUGUAGCGGUGAAAUGCGCAGAUAUCAGGAGGAACACCUGUGGUGUAGACAGCUUACUGGACCAUUUCUGACGCUGAGACGCGAAAGCGUGGGUAGCAAACAGG